GUCACUUGGCCGAGCAGGUAAGGGCGCUGGUUUGGGUCCUCGAGGUCCGGGGUUCAAUUCCCGGAGACG